GGGGAUUUGGAGACCCCGGGGACAAACGAUGUGAUCCGGAGCCGUUGCUGCAAAGGAGCGCGACGGAAUGAGGCGCACUCUAAUGGGUCACGUGGGGUCCAGAGGAGGUUCUGCUUUGUGAGACCACCUUUCGGAGGCUGGUGGGAACGAUCUAAUAGAGGAGCGUGGGAAAGCGGUGACGUAGAAGCGAUGGAGAAAUCAAGGCCAUCAGUUGGGAAAGAGGAUGGGAGGGAUGUCACCCAAAUUUGUGGAGUCUCAGCUUUGCGGCCUGCUUCACGGCACCGAUACUCACGUGGGGCGCUUCGAUCAACAGAUUCAUCCUGGAAGACCAC